GAUUAGUAGUGAUGGGUCCAGCGACACCGAUGCAUUGACACAUGCGCCGGGCUCACAGAGCAAACCACGUGUCGAUGCAUGUGCUGGCUCAUUACGUCACGUGAUUGACACGUGAACUGCGUUGACACAGUCCAGGCUUCUAAUUGACACACCGGCUGCGUUGACACAGUCCAGGCUGCUAAUUGACACAUCGACUGUGUUGACACAGUCCAGGCUGCUAAUUGACACAUCGGCUGCGUUGACACAGUCCAGGCUGCUAAUUGACACGUGAACUGCACCGGUGCAGUUUAGACUGCAUCGGCUGCUUGGCACAGUACAGGCUGCGCCACUUAGUCCAGGGGGCGUCGACUCAGUGCAGAGGGCGUUGACGCAGCAAAAGCCCGCCACACAGUGUUUAUAAGGAACACCUGCCGAAACAAGCCAGACCUCACUCACGCUCGCUUGUCGAAGCUCGUGUCAGUGCAGACUUCGUGUUCGUGCCUUGCCUUCCUUGCCGAUUAUGGAGCAGAGACGCAAAUCAUCCGCCGUGUGGGACCAUUUUGAUGUCCUGCAGAAUAAGGUGAAAUGUCGAAUUUGCCAAGUCGAAUUGUCAUACACCAACAGAAGCACCUCCACCAUGCUGAGGCAUUAUCGGGCCAAGCAUGAGAAUGAAGUUCGCGAUACACCCGGUAUUACGCCAGGUUCCAGGAAGCAGCUGUACUGGAAGGACCAACACACUUCUUUCCCAAACCUCUCCCACCUCGCAAAGGAGUUCCUUUGUACGCCAGCACAUCCGUCCCUUGUGAGCGUGUGUUCUUCACAGCAGGAGAAAUUGCUUGUAAAAGACGCAACAGGCUGAAGUUUAAAACAUUGGAGCAUCUUAUUUUUCUCAAUAAAAAUGUGAAAUCAAAGCCCACAAGCAUCCUCAUUCAAAUGAUCUUCACAUUAUUUGAACACAUUGAAUGUUGCAAAAUGAAUGCAUGGAUGUGAAUGAUAUUGUAUACACUUCAUCAAAUCGAUGAAUGACCUUAUGAAAAUGUCUUGGAACAGUUGUAGAUGCAAAACCGUGCUGGCAGCUACAUAAUAAUAAAAGAAAAAUAUCCCAAACCAUAGGGAUCCUCCCAAAACUAAGGAUGUGCUGAAUAAGAAAUCCUUGUACACACUUUUAUUACUUCCAUAUUUGACCUAGUGUGUGGAAAUAUGGGGAAAUGCCAGUAAAACACUGUUUUAAAACUACAAUACAAAGCAAUCAGAACAAUCACUGGCUCCAAAUAGACGGAACCCACAAAUCCACUGUUUAUCAAAUUAAACAAUGAAAUCUCAUGACCUGGUUGACUUCAAAAUCGCCCAAUUAAUGUACAAAGCACACAAUAACCUCCUUUGCCAAAACAUCCAGAAGCUUUUUAAAAUUCGAGAAAGU